UCCAACUUUAACUUCUAAUUCUCUACCCUUGGUUGCAAGCAGCCAGGAGUGGCAGCUUGUGCUUGUGUCUCAGCUACACGGGAAGCCGAGACAAGAACACGUGUACCAGAGAGUUCGAGCAGUGAGAAUGAUUGUUGGGCUCACAAUGGACAACUUGGGGACCAGGAGUCCUGCCUCCUCUUAAGAGUGUCUUGAUGUGAAAUAUUAGAAGACCAAAAGGCUAAUCUAUGCAUCCGUCAGCCAGGGGUGGGAGCUAUUUCAGUCCCAUUUCACACGUAGUAAUCAAUUCAUUGACUGAAAAAAAAAAGAGAGAGAGAAAAGAAAGAAGCCUGCCUUUUCCUUGUCCAGCUGCAGUAGACAGGAGCCAGAACAUAUGCCUGUCUGAAAGAGGAGGAGGGGCAAAGGCUUCGGGGGAGCAGGCACACAAAGAAAGCCAAUCUUCUCCACAAAGCGUGGAAUGACUUAAACACUCUAUUGUAUUACCUAUGAAUGAGCCCUCAUUGUGGCGCGCAGUGUGUGGGGAUCCACGGAGUCCUCCCAUUAGCCACACGAUUAACCAGAUUACACGGGACGCCGCUAAGGUAAAUAAGGUCAGCCUUCUGUCACUCCCUCCCCCAGGCCUGACCAACAAGGGGCCCAAGAACCAGCCCCUUUGUAGUCAACUGGGUGGAAAGAAGAAAUAACCAUGAAUGUCAUGCUUGGUAAUUAAAAAGAGAGAGAGACAGACAGACAGACAGACCGACAGACAGACAGAGGAGGAAAGAGAAAGAAAGUUGUCCCCUGGGACCAUCUAAGAGACACAGUGUGAAAACAUCUUUUUGAUCAAGUAACAUGUCAGCAUUGUUUCCAUUGACCAUGUAGGACUAAUCUAACCCUCCCCUAACAGGGUCCUGUAUUCCCUUUUGUGGCGCGGAAGACAAAAAGCUCAAAACACAUGAAUUAAAGCUGCCGGACUCUGCUCAUUAUGGGCAAGAAUGGGUGGGUCUGUGCCUACAAAUCUGUCUGCCUGUUAACCCAGCUCCCGUCCAUCUCUAAGUGGGUGCCUCUUCGUCCACCUCUAUAGCCCUGCUCAUUCUGGCGAACAGAUAAACACCCAUAGUUAAUUGGUUUAUGGAAAUUGCACCAAAGUUACAAGGCUCCUCGCAGCUUGAGUUGUGACCAACACAAGUAAACGGAAACUGCUUCCAAUGGUCCUGAAAAGCCUAUUUUCCUGAAAAUUCAGAUAUCUGACAUGGAAAACAUCCUUGUGAAAAACUGUCUUAGCUUCUUGAUGUAAUAGAAAAGUGGAAAAGUGUUCGUCAUAUUUAGAACACAUUUUCUCUGGACAUUAUUCGUUGUAUAAUAACAAAUAAAACUAUCAGCAAAAAGUGUUUCUGUGUCAAAAACAUGAUGUAU
rnacentral:lncRNA from 1 species